GACGAACGCUGGCGGCGUGCCUAAUACAUGCAAGUAGAACGCUGACUACUUUAGCUUGCUAGAGUAGAAGGAGUUGCGAACGGGCGAGUAACGCGUGGGUAACCUGCCCUGUACAUAUGGAUAACAUGCUGAAAAGCAUACUAAUACAUAAUAACGUACAUUGAAGGCAUCUUCGAUGUAUCAAAGCGUUAGCGGUACAGGAUGGACCCGCGUCUGAUUAGCUAGUUGGUGGGGUAAAAGCCUACCAAGGCGACGAUCAGUAGCCGACCUGAGAGGGUGAUCGGCCACAUUGGAACUGAGACACGGUCCAA
rnacentral:rRNA from 1 species